rnacentral:rRNA from 1 species
UACGUAGGGUGCGGGCGUUAAUCGGAAUUACUGGGCGUAAAGCGUGCGCAGGCGGUUUUGUAAGCCAGAUGUGAAAUCCCCGGGCUUAACCUGGGAAUGGCAUUUGGGACUGCAAGGCUUGAGUGUGGCAGAGGAGACUGGAAUUCCUGGUGUAGCAGUGAAAUGCGUAGAUAUCAGGAGGAACACCGGUGGCGAAGGCGCUCAUCUGGCCCAAUACUGACACUCAGGUGCGACAGCGUGGGGAGCAAACAGG